rnacentral:rRNA from 1 species
AGCGGAGGAAAAGAAACUAACCAGGAUUGCCCACUAGUAACGGCGAGUGAAGCGGGAAGAGCCCACGAUGAGAAUCUGUGGCCCCUAGGGUCACCGAAUUGUAGUCUGUAGAGUCCAGGUCCAGUCGUACCGCCGGCCCAAGUCCCUUGGAAGAGGGCGCCAGGGAGGGUGACAGCCCCGUCCGCGGCUGGUUGCGUGCGAUGUUCGGUCCGGUCUCGACGAGUCGAGUUGCUUGGGAUUGCAGCUCAAAGCGGGUGGUAAAUUCCAUCCAAGGCUAAAUACUGGCGGGAGACCGAUAGCGAACAAGUACCGUGAGGGAAAGAUGAAAAGAACUUUGGAAAGAGAGUUAAAGAGUGCUUGAAAUUGCUGAAAGGGAACCGAAGGGAGGCAGUGUCGGCCCCGGGAGUACUGCCCUCAGGCGUUGUGUCUGGGAUGCUGCUCUCGGGGCCCAGUCAGGGCGGGUUCCGUGGCUGCGGGAUCGGGUGGCGUCGGAGGUAGGGUGCUUGCAUCUGAAACGUCGUCACCGUGUCGCAGUCGGGGCCGAGGCAGGGGGUGUUUAUCGCCCCUCUGGCCCUGUCGAAAUGCCUCCCUUUACCCCGUCUUGAAACACGGACCAAGGAGUCUAACAUGUGCGCGAGUGCAGGGGCGAUCGAAACCCGUGCGCGCAAUGAAAGUGAGAGUGGUGGGAGGGCGUGCCCCCCGGGGCGUGCCCGCACCAUCCGCCGACCAGCAUCCUCCGGGAGACCGCGGUUUGAGUGGGAGCGUACAUGUUGGGACCCGAAAGAUGGUGAACUAUGCUUGAGUAGGGCGAAGCCAGGGGAAACUCUGGUGGAGGCUCGUAGCGAUUCUGACGUGCAAAUCGAUCGUCGAACUGUUGGGUAUAGGGGCGAAAGACUAAUCGAACCUUCUAGUA